GUCCCUGAAGCGCAAUGAAUAACGUGUUUAAUUUCUAAUUCAAAGAUCGUGGGCUCGAAUCUCACCUGGGACG